CCAUGAACAACGCAAUUAUAACACGUUCACAGGAAAAAACGAUUUUGUUUCCGAGGACUCUCCGGCAUUCGUGCUGCAGACCAUCCCAUGACUCUACAUUUUUUUUUUCCUUGCAAACGGAGAACGAACCACAACACCGAACAAUCUUGGGUGCGAUGCUUUGCCGUUCAGGUUCCUCCGGGAGCUGUGGAAAGGGUCGCAAUGAUUGACCGGACAU
rnacentral:sRNA from 1 species